rnacentral:sRNA from 1 species
GCAGUAAGAAGCACGGAAAGAUGUGGUAUUGAUUUGAUUUCAAUUUUAAAACACUAACUCCUCAUGUGACCUGUCUUGGCUAACUGGUUAUAUAAGUAAGUCUAGGGACUUUAGCUGAUCCCAAGUUUCAUGAAGCAGAGUGAAUACAGUUAUCAGAACAGUCAGUAUACAAUCACAUACAGUAACAGAAGUAGAUUGUUCAAAUUAAAGUAGUAAUAAAAAGCAUACAUUUUAAUGUAACGUUUUGUGCAUCUAUUAACUUUAAAAAAAGAUAAAUUAGAGAAAAAAAAGCAUACAGAUCCAUAGCAGGAGCUUGGAACAGACUCUCAGCCAGCAAUCCAGAGUCCAAUGGCUGAAGUGAGGUACCCUGUACCCGGGCCUCAUAACCCAAUUCAGACUACUCUCCCCUGU